GACGUAGGGGGCAAGCGUUAUUCGGAAUUAUUGGGCGUAAAGCGCUCGUAGGCGGGACUGGAAGUCCGUGUUGAAAGACCUCGGCUCAACUGAGGGACCGGCUCGGAUACUCUAGUUCUUGAGGCAAUCAGAGGGUGAUGGAAUUCCCGGUGUAGCGGUGAAAUGCGCAGAUAUCGGGAGGAACACCGGUGGCGAAGGCGGUUCUCUGGGCCUUACCUGACGCUGAGGAGCGAAAGCGUGGGGAGCGAACAGG
rnacentral:rRNA from 1 species